rnacentral:tRNA from 1 species
GCCUCUGUGGUGGAAUUGGUAGACACGAUAGACUCAAAAUCUAUUGUUGAGAGACAUGUCGGUUCGAGUCCGACCAGAGGUACCA